GUUGUGGCUCAGAGGUAGAGCGCUCGCCUGGCAUGCAUGAGGCUCUGGGUUCGAUCCUCAGCACCACA
rnacentral:tRNA from 1 species